rnacentral:rRNA from 1 species
GGUCAAGUUAUUAAGGGUGCAGGGCGGAUGCCUUGGCACUAGGAGCCGAUGAAGGACGUGAUAAGCUGCGAUAAGCUUCGGGGAGUUGCACGUAAACUUUGAUCCGAAGAUUUCCGAAUGAGGAAACUCACUUAGAGUAAUGUCUAAGUAUCAUUAAGUGAAUACAUAGCUUAAUGAGGGGAACUCAGGGAACUGAAACAUCUAAGUACCUGAAGGAAGAGAAAGAAAUUCGAUUCCGUAAGUAGCGGCGAGCGAACGCGGAUUAGCCCAAACCAAUAAAGUUUUCUUUGUUGGGGUUGCGGACAUAUCAUAACGAAGAGGUAUCGUAAUUGAAGAGGUUUGGAAAGACCCACCACAGAAGGUAAUAGUCCUGUAUGUUAAACGAGAAGACUUUAGAUAUGAUCCAGAGUACCACGGGACACGUGAAACCCUGUGGGAAGCAGGAGGGACCACCCUCCAAGGCUAAAUACUACCUAGUGACCGAUAGCGUAUAGUACCGUGAGGGAAAGGUGAAAAGAACCCCGGGAGGGGAGUGAAAUAGAACCUGAAACCCUGCACUUACAAGCUGUGGAAGCACAUUUCUUGUGUGACCGCGUACUUUUUGUAGAACGGGCCAACGAGUUACGUUAAGUAGCAAGGUUAAGCACUUAAGGUG